AUAAGUGGGAGCUUCGGCGACGG
rnacentral:misc_RNA from 1 species